rnacentral:rRNA from 1 species
UCACUAUCGGAUGAACCCAGAUGGGAUUAGCUAGUAGGCGGGGUAAUGGCCCACCUAGGCGACGAUCCCUAGCUGGUCUGAGAGGAUGACCAGCCACACUGGAACUGAGACACGGUCCAGACUCCUACGGGAGGCAGCAGUGGGGAAUAUUGCACAAUGGGCGCAAGCCUGAUGCAGCCAUGCCGCGUGUAUGAAGAAGGCCUUCGGGUUGUAAAGUACUUUCAGCGGGGAGGAAGGCGGUGCGGUUAAUAACCGCGCCGAUUGACGUUACCCGCAAAAGAAGCACCGGCUAACUCCGUGCCAGCGGCCGCGGUAAUACGGAGGGUGCAAGCGUUAAUCGGAAUUACUGGGCGUAAAGCGCACGCGGGCGGUCUGUUAAGUCAGAUGUGAAAUCCCCGGGCUUAACCUGGAAACUGCUUUUGAAACUGGCAGGCUUGACUCUCGUAGAGGGGGGUAGAAUUCCGGGUGUAGCGGGUGAAAGUGCGUAGAGAUCUGGAGGAAAUACCGGUGGCGAAGGCGGCCCCCUGGAACAAAGACUGACGCUCAGGUGCGAAAGCGUGGGGGAGCAAACAGGAUAGAUACCCUGGUACUCCACGCCGUAACGAUGUCGACUUGGAGUCUGUCCCCUUGAGGCGUGUCUUCGGGAGCUAACGCGUUAAGUCCGCCGCGCCUGGGAGUACGGCCCGAAGGUU